UGUAGAACCUCAGUAACAGUGUGAGCGUGGUGGUCCAGUGCAGACUGAACCUUCCGGCCUCCAGAGAGCUGAAGGUGACGCUCAGCGGACGACUGCUGCUUCCCGCUCUGCUCGCUGUGAGCUUCAGGUCCAUGGAGUUACUGACUGCUGCCUCCAUCCAGCUGGAAGCAUCCAGUCCCAUGUUCCUCCAGGAGGACAGAGCUGUCAGACAGAUCAUCCUGGAGCUGAGGAGGGACGAGGACGACGUCGUCUCUGUCUGGAUCAUACUGGGAAGCUCACUGGGAGGUCUGCUGCUGCUGGCCCUGCUGGUGCUGGCCCUG